AGCUCCAAUAGCGUAUAUUAAAGUUGCUGCAGUUAAAAAGCUCGUAGUUGCAUUUCCGAGGCAAGGGAUUAGUCCGACCUUUGGUGGGUAUUUAAUCCUCUUGCCUCGUCCUUGAGUGGUGCUUCUUGGUAUUAAGUUAUCGAGGAGAUAGCCGCUCAUCGUUUACUGUGAGAAAAUUAGAGUGUUCAAAGCAGGCUUAUGCCGUUGAAUAUAUUAGCAUGGAAUAAUAAGAUAGGGCCUCGGUACUAUUUUGUUGGUUUGAGAACCAAGGUAAUGAUGAAUAGGGACAGUUGGGGGUAUUCGUAUUCAGUUGUCAGAGGUGAAAUUCUUAGAUUUUCGGAAGACGAACUACUGCGAAAGCAUUUACCAAGGAUGUUUUCA
rnacentral:rRNA from 1 species